GCCCUCGUGGCGGAACGGCAGACGCUACGGACUUAAAAUCCGUUGACCGAAAGGUCAUGUGGGUUCGAUUCCCACCGGGGGCA
rnacentral:tRNA from 1 species